ACGCAGGGCUUCUGCACCUCCGCCUCCGGUUAAAAGCCGAGGAGACAGAGCAGUGCAUCCUGGGGUGAAGGAACUGACUGCCUUUGACUUCCUCUGCCUCCGUUUGUCGUGGUGUUUCAUUUAGCCUUUAAUCGCUUUGGUAAAAUCUCGGGUCACUAAAACUUUGGUGACUAGGGUUUCUUCAUUUUGAAAAGCAUCAGUUAGUUUAAUUACUUGCACAGUAAUUCAUUCGAGACUAACAGUGAAUGUCUUCAUCUGUUUGGAGAGAGUCAUCCUGGGACCUUAUGUGGGAGUGGAGGUACCACCCCCUUGGACCGUAAGAAUGAACAGCAUAUCCUGGGUGUGUCAGGCUUGUCCCGUGGGACCUCACCUCGCAGCGCGCUGGCCAUUUGGAAUGUUCUGGUCCUGUGUAGAAUCCCGCAAUGGCUCUCCACAGGGAACUAAAACCAGCGCUGGUACUUGAGGCUCUCCUCUGACUUAACUCCUCUCACCUCUCCAGCUCCCAUUUAGCUCUUUCUAUUGAUGUUUCAUUUGUUGGUUUGACUAAGACACAGCUCUUUAAGUGCAUGUCAUAACUGUGCAUACACACACAAAGCCAAGCAAACAUUCCUAUCCUGGCAUAUAUUGGAGGGUUUUUUGGUUGGUGCCUGGCAAUCCAUUUUAGCCAGCAUGAACUUAAGGACAUGGAUACUGUAAGUGUAGACCGGACAUUGAUGCCUAUGACAGAAGGUACAGUCUUUCCAAGGCCAGCAGCGAUUUCACAUUAACAGCAUUUCAUUUGUUUCUUCUUGAGGUGGCAAAAGAAACUCAUUCCCAACGUGCAAAGCCAAGGCAGCGACCCCAGGCCCUCUCCUGGAGAUGGAAGCUUGUUGAAAACCCAGACUGUCUCCACAGCUUGCCCGGCUGACCCCAAGGAGCACUGACAGCAACUUUACCCUGAGGUCACUGCUAGCGCUGACCCACAGACACAGUCACUGCCAGCCCUCCCUUCUGUCUACUGCAAGCGCUGACUUCCAAAAGAAAGCCGAAUACGGUCGUUUCUGAAAAAGAAAAAAAAAAUAAAAUUAAAAAGUCCAUGAGAAAGCUAGCAGGCCCUGCCCACUGAGCAGCAUUGCUUCCAGUCUUCAUGCGCUUCUUGAGCAUCUUCUGCGCAGACCUGUCACCCUUCAGCAAGGACAGACAGUUCCUUGGCUGUGUUUGCCUCGUCACGUGCAACUGGAGCCAGCGACCCAAGCAGGCAUCAGCAUCCUGGCGUGAGAAUCGUGGAAGACUCCUCUCGUUCCUGUCUUCAUUUUCCUAUCUCUUCAAGUUUUUAUUUAACAGUACAAAAGGAUCAAGUUUGUGUUUGCUUCUUUUUUUUUUUAACUUGAAUUUUUAAGUUUACCUUUUUUUUUUUUAACUUUUAUUUUCCUUGUAUAUUUUGCUAGCUCUGAGCUUUUAAGUGAAAUUCAUAGGUCUGAAAUAAAAACAAGA
rnacentral:lncRNA from 1 species